GAGAGAGAGAGAGAGAGAGAGAGAGAGAGAGAGAGAGAGAGAGGAAGGAGGAAGAGAUAGAGACAAGAGAGGGGUUUCAAUUAUUGAGUUUAAUUAAAGGGGGGUUGCUUUAACCACAAGGCUUUUCUGUUUAAAAUAUUGUUUUUUUUUUUUUUUGUUUCGUCUAAAUUUAAAAGACAGUAUAUAAAUAUUAAAACAUUUGAUUGCCUACGUAUUCAACAAUGCUUACCAAUGAUGAGGUUUCGGGGAUUGAAACAAGCUUUUUUCUUCUUUUGACAAACCAUUUCUAAUGAACCAUACAUAAAAAGUUUUUAUUUGGGAUUAUUGAAAUUUUGAAGAUUUUGUUUGUUUGUUUAUUUGUGUUCUACGUUGAAAGACAAUAUUAGUUGUUGUAUAAAAUUAUUAGAUAGGAACAUAGAUCAUUUUGGGGCACUUCAUUUGGAAUUGAAGCAUAGUUUGACAAACAUCUUUUUGAGCCCAUAAGAUAACCAUGCAUGGGCUUGAUGGGUGAAUAAUUAGUCACAGCUAAGUAUUUUAAAUCAUGUUGGAUUUGGAUUUGGAUCACAAGAGUUUAGUAGUGGAUUUGGAUCAUAGUGGAAGCUGGGUUUUGGAGGUGAGAGAUUAAUCUAGAAAUAUUUCUACGAAUUAAUAGUUAAAAAAUAACAAAUAAUUGAGUAAUGAAGGUAAUAAAAUCCAUCUUAUAAAAGUGAAACUCACACCCAAAAAAAAAAAAAAAAAAAAAACCUAGCCAACAAAGAGAGAGAGGGAGAAAGCUUUAGAUUCAAGGGGUUUUUCCCCAUCCUUAAUGUUCUUCGACUUUUGACGGAUCUAUGCCGAUAUGGUCUUCCUUUGUCUCUACCUCGAAUUUGGGACAACUUUGGAUGUGCCUCAUCUUUCUGACUCUUUGAAGUGUUAUUUCCUGUCAUGAUAGAUCUAAUGUUGAUUGGCGCGUUGCGGCCAUGGAGUGACUAGGUGGCACUCUCUAUGUCAUGUUUAGGAGAAUAGCGGAGUUUUUCUUCCUUUUGUCGGUGUUGUUUUAGAUUUUUGGUAUUGGUUUUUUUGGUCAAUAAAGUUCAAAAAUUUUAUUAUCUUGAUAUUUUUUUCUUCUCAUAAUUCUAAAAACUUAGUUGAGUUUGCUGGGUGUUCUAAGUCUCUUUAGGAGAGUUAUGCCAAUUAGCGGCCAGUUUUGUCCUUGAUGCCGUUAAACUAGAUUCGAGAAAUCUAUGAUGGUAGGAAGGGGUUAAUUAUAUAAAAGUUAUUUUCAAGAAUAAAUCUCUCUAGAUCAUUUCAACUUUUCAAUUGUCUUAGGUCCAUAUCUGCCAUAUUACAAUUGGGAUUGUCCUUUGUACUCUUUUUUCUUAUUAAUCUAAUAAAAACUAUCCACUUUUUAAUAUAAAAAGAAAGUGAACAGAGGUUUGCUAAACUCAAUGCAAGCGGCCAUUUUUUUAAUUGUUUUUGGGCUAGGCCCAGCUUUCAGCUCCCUUCCAUCACCCUCCACACUACAUCCCAUUGGGUCACCUUUGGUCAAUUUGAGCCCAGAGUGUUCAAAUUCCAUCUUUACCACUUCCCUGAAAACAAUCUGAUACAAUUGUUAGGAUAUGUGAUUAAUGGGACACCCAAGAAUUGUUUCUAGACACUCGAGAAUUGUUUUUGGACAACUGACUAGUGGAGUCCCUUUCAUGUUACAUCCAAUAUACCAGUGCAUUGCACUUCUAGUUCUUGGAUUAAAAGAUUAAAAGAUGAAAAUUCAGUUAUUGAUGAAACAAUGCACCGAUGCAUUGAAUGUACCAUAUAAUUAUACAUGAGAACGGUUCGUGAUAAUUUUU
rnacentral:lncRNA from 1 species